rnacentral:rRNA from 1 species
GACCUCAAAUCAGGUAGGACUACCCGCUGAACUUAAGCAUAUCAAUAAGCGGAGGAAAAGAAACUAACAAGGAUUCCCCUAGUAACUGCGAGUGAAGCGGGAAAAGCUCAAAUUUAAAAUCUGGCAGUCUUUGGCUGUCCGAGUUGUAAUCUAGAGAAGUGCUAUCCGCGCUGGMCCGUGUACAAGUCUCCUGGAAUGGAGCGUCAUAGAGGGUGAGAAUCCCGUCUUUGACACGGACUACCAGGGCUUUGUGAUGUGCUCUCAAAGAGUCGAGUUGUUUGGGAAUGCAGCUCAAAAUGGGUGGUAAAUUCCAUCUAAAGCUAAAUAUUGGCGAGAGUCCGAUAGCGAACAAGUMCCGUGAGGGAAAGAUGAAAAGWYCUUUGGAAAGAGAGUUAAACAGUCCGUGAAAUUGCUGAAAGGGAAACGCUUGAA